GCACCGGCUCAGACAUAUACUGUCCUUGAGCGCAUACACUGCUCUCAUAAGGAAACAUGUCGUUGAUGAAGACCGUUGUUGGAUCGUUGGAUGUACUGCCCGUCUCAGAAAAUUGGCCAUGAUCAUGCGGACCCCCUGAUGAUGUUUCACCAUGAUAUAACCAACAUGUAUACUUCUCCCAAAACCCGUUACUCUUCAGGUGCUGUCAUACUUUGUCAAUCGUAAAUCAAUGCAUAUCGCUGCGACACUGACAUUUCGUGCACGGGCAAUAGAAAAUUGUAUUCCAGUUAGCAUUAGCCAGCGCAUAUUCCAGAAAAUUCAUAACUCCUUUACCAUAUCUUUUGUCCUAUUUUGGAAGCGAAAUCCAACUCUUAUCCAUAUCCUGAAAAUAUAACAAAAUAUAUAUGUAUAACUCUAGCUAAUUAUUAAUUAAAUUUCAUAUAUAAAAUCUCAAUUCAUUUAGUAUUCGACGUAGUACAACUAAUUAAUAACAAAUUAAUUAACACAUAUAUAUACUUCAUAAUUACAUAACAAUAUUAUAUAUCAACAUCAUCACAAAAUCAUCAUCAACUCAUAUCAUCAACAACUGCAUACCAUCAACACAAUAUUAUAAAUUAAUUAACAUAUAUAUAUAUAUCUACUACUUAUUAACAACAACUUCAUAUAUAUUAUCAAAUCAUCAACCAAAUUGAUCAACACAUAUAUAUAUAUACAUCUAAGGUACUCAAAAUUGAUCAACUCAAAUAAAACCCAAAAUCGACAUAUAUACACAUAUACGUUGUCACAUCCCGACCCUUAUAUUUUUACCUUAUUUACUAGCGUGAUUAUAAUAAGAAUUUUACCGUCUCGAUCAUUGAGUAAACAGUUUAAUUGGUCCCUAGAGGGGUUUCGGGGACGAUUAUGUGCGGAGGAUUAUUAGUAUGAGGGAAAUACGACGACGGUAAAAAUGGUAAAUUUUAGCUAGUAAAAGGUAAUUUUUAUUCGGGUAUUAUUUUUUCGGGGUGUUUUUAUUUUGGAAUUUGGGUUGAUAUAGGUUGGACCGGUUUGGGGUGUGAGGCCCAAACCCACUCUUUUUUUUCCUCCCGAUUUUCUCUCCUCACCCCUCCCGCACCCGAGCCUCCCGCUGCCCGGUUUUCCGGCCGUCCUCCCGCCGCCGUCCGGCCACCAACCGCCGCCCGCACCGGUCCCGUUCGGUCGACCUCCA
rnacentral:lncRNA from 1 species